rnacentral:rRNA from 1 species
CCUACGGGCGGCAGCAGUGAGGAAUAUUGGUCAAUGGGCGGGAGCCUGAACCAGCCAAGCCGCGUGAGGGUAGAAGGUACAGCGUAUCGUAAACCUCUUUUGUCAGGGAACAAAGGCGGGGACUAGUCCCCGGCUGAGGGUACCUGAAGAAAAAGCAUCGGCUAACUCCGUGCCAGCAGCCGCGGUAAUACGGAGGAUGCGAGCGUUAUCCGGAUUUAUUGGGUUUAAAGGGUGCGCAGGCGGCCUGUUAAGUCAGCGGUAAAAGCCCGGGGCUCAACCCCGGCGAGCCGUUGAUACUGGCGGGCUGGAGUUGGAGAGAAGUGCGCGGAAUGCGCGGUGUAGCGGUGAAAUGCUUAGAGAUCGCGCAGAACCCCGAUUGCGAAGGCAGCGUACCGGCUCCACACUGACGCUGAGGCACGAAAGCGUGGGUAUCGAACAGGAGUAGAUACCCCUGUAGUC